rnacentral:rRNA from 1 species
UACGUAGGGUGUGAGCGUUAAUCGGAAUUACUGGGCGUAAAGCGUGCGCAGGCGGUUCGUUAAGUCAGAUGUGAAAGCCCCGGGCUCAACCUGGGAACUGCAUUUGAAACUGGCGGGCUUGAGUGUGGCAGAGGGGGGUGGAAUUCCGCGUGUAGCAGUGAAAUGCGUAGAUAUGCGGAGGAACACCGAUGGCGAAGGCAAUCCCCUGGGCCUGUACUGACGCUCAUGCACGAAAGCGUGGGGAGCAAACAGG